rnacentral:rRNA from 1 species
UGUGGGAAAGCUUUUGCGGCAUGGGAUGGGGUCGCGUCCUAUCAGCUUGUGUGGCGGGGUGACGGUCUACCAAGGCGUUGACGGGUAGCCGGCCUGAGAGGGCGACCGGCCACAUUGGGACUGAGAUACGGCCCAGACUCCUACGGGAGGCAGCAGUGGGGAAUAUUGCACAAUGGGCGCAAGCCUGAUGCAGCGACGCCGCGUGAGG